AUUUCUUCCCCAUGACACAGUGAUUAAUUCAUCAGGCCUUCUAAGACAUCCUGACUGCUGCUCCUUGCCAGCUCUGCUAUCCUUUCACUGGAUUAUCAGGAUCAAGAUACUGGGAGAAUGAAGUCUUCUCUUUGCCAAAACUCUGACCUGGGCAUCUCUUCCAACUUUCCUACUCGAUGUGGACCAGAACAUUCUUGUCCAGCAUUACUAAACCCUUGCUGGAUAUGAUUGUCUAGUCUGAUGUUAAAUUCACAAGUCUAUUUGGCUUUCUCACCAAGCCAUAUCUUCUGUGGUGUUCCUUAAAAGCAAUAAACAUACAUUGGUGUAGAUAUGCUCUUCCUUUGCUUUUUUCUUAAUUUUUCAGGAUAAUAGAGUAGGUGUCCAUUCAUACUUUUAGCAGGAAUUGUGAAAUUUUUAAUGAAAGUUGGACCUUAUCAAAUACUUUUGCAACAUCGACUAGAGAUAAUUUAAUUAUCUCUCUUUUUUUGUUUUGUUACUCUUUUCACAAAUAGACACCAAUGUGGGGCUUAAUAAAUCAUUUUUGCAUUAAAUUAUAAUUAAAUGUUUAAAUGUUUAUGAGUAAAUGGAGUUAUCAUAAAAAG
rnacentral:lncRNA from 1 species